GGCUCGUUGGUUUAGGGGUAUGAUUCUCGCUUUGGGUGCGAGAGGUCCCGGGUUCAAAUGUAUGGUAUGGUUCU